GGGAACGUGCCUUUAGGUUCGGAAUAACUCAGGGAAACUUGUGCUAAUACCGAAUGUGCCCUUCGGGGGAAAGAUUUAUCGCCUUUAGAGCGGCCCGCGUCUGAUUAGCUAGUUGGUGAGGUAAAGGCUCACCAAGGCGACGAUCAGUAGCUGGUCUGAGAGGAUGAUCAGCCACAUUGGGACUGAGACACGGCCCAAACUCCUACGGGAGGCAGCAGUGGGGAAUCUUGCGCAAUGGGCGAAAGCCUGACGCAGCCAUGCCGCGUGAAUGAUGAAGGUCUUAGGAUUGUAAAAUUCUUUCACCGGGGACGAUAAUGACGGUACCCGGAGAAGAAGCCCCGGCUAACUUCGUGCCAGCAGCCGCGGUAAUACGAAGGGGGCUAGCGUUGCUCGGAAUUACUGGGCGUAAAGGGAGCGUAGGCGGACAUUUAAGUCAGGGGUGAAAUCCCGGGGCUCAACCUCGGAAUUGCCUUUGAUACUGGGUGUCUUGAGUAUGAGGGAGGUGUGUGGAACUCCGAGU
rnacentral:rRNA from 1 species